rnacentral:rRNA from 1 species
CAUGGUGUAGCAAUACACUGAUGGCGACCGGCAAACGGGUGCGGAACACGUACGCAACCUUCCUUUAACUGGAGAAUAGCCCGGGGAAACCCGGAUUAAUACUCCGUAACAUUAUGAAGUGGCAUCAUUUUAUAAUUAUAGCUCCGGCGGUUGAAGAUGGGCGUGCGUCUGAUUAGGUAGUUGGCGGGGUAACGGCCCACCAAGCCUACGAUCAGUAACUGGUGUGAGAGCACGACCAGUCACACGGGCACUGAGACACGGGCCCGACUCCUACGGGAGGCAGCAGUAAGGAAUAUUGGUCAAUGGACGCAAGUCUGAACCAGCCAUGCCGCGUGGAGGAUGAAGGUCCUCUGGA